UACGUAGGGUGCGAGCGUUGUCCGGAAUUAUUGGGCGUAAAGAGCUUGUAGGCGGUUUGUCGCGUCUGCUGUGAAAAUCCGGGGCUCAACCCCGGACUUGCAGUGGGUACGGGCAGACUGGAGUGUGGUAGGGGAGACUGGAAUUCCUGGUGUAGCGGUGGAAUGCGCAGAUAUCAGGAGGAACACCGAUGGCGAAGGCAGCUCUCUGGGUCCCUACCGACGCUGGGGUGCGAAAGCAUGGGGAGCGAACGAG
rnacentral:rRNA from 1 species